GUGGCCGUAGCUCAACGGCAGAGCCCCCGGCUGUGAACCGGGAGUGAACGGGGUCGGCACCCGUCGGUCACCCCA
rnacentral:tRNA from 1 species